rnacentral:rRNA from 1 species
AUGCCCGAGCGCAGAGCCGCACAGUUUGGGGCUUCAAGCAGCAAUCAAGCUAUUCAGCAAUUUGCUUUUCAGGCUGGUUCUGAUGCAAAAGAGUAUUUAGAGUUCUUUGCACAGCACAAAGAUUCAAAUCCAAAAAAGGUGCAAAGGUGGAAGCCCCCGCCACAAGAUAUUCUAAAGAUUAACGUUGAUGGAAGUUUCCAUAGUGACAAGAAGUGUGGUGGCUGGGGGUUUGUGAUCCGAGACCACAUGGGAGAUGUGACGGGUGCAGGUGCCGGAAGGGUGGAGUAUGCCCAAGAUGUCCUACAGGUGGAGGCUAAAGUGUGUGUGCAUGCUUUGAACUAUGCCCAGGAGUGGGGAAUGACCAACGUCUUGGUAGAGACGGAUGCGCAGAUUUUGGUACAAACUAUCACUGACUCGAAGAACUACGAUCUAGCGCCAAAUGGAGUCCUUUUUAGGGAAAUUAAUGCCCUUGCUAUGUUGCAUUUUAGUUCUUUUUCUAUCUCUUUUUGCCCACGGGUUUGUAAUAAUGUUGUGGAUGCUCUAGCGACGCACGGGUAG